rnacentral:rRNA from 1 species
AACGAACGCUGGCGGCAUGCCUAACACAUGCAAGUCGAACGAGACCUUCCGGUCUAGUGGCGCACGGGUGCGUACCGCGUGGGAACCUGCCCUUAGGUUCGGCAUAACUCCCCGAAAGGGGUGCUAAUACCGGAUAAUUUCUUCGGACCAAAGAUUUAUCGCCUUUGGAUGGGCCCGCGUUGGAUUAGCUAGUUGGUAGGGUAAAAGCCUACCAAGUCGACGAUCCAUAGCUGGUCGGAGAGGAUGAUCAGCCACACUGGGACUGAGACACGGCCCAGACUCAGACGGGAGGCAGCAGUGGUGAAUAAUGGACAAUGGGCGAAAGCCUGAUCCAGCAAUGCCGCGUGAGUGAUGAAGGCCUGAGGGUUGUAAAGCUCUUUUACCCGGGAUGAUAAUGACAGUACCGGGAGAAUAAGCUCCGGCUAACUCCGU